UCUGAAAUAUUAAGUAUGGAGGCAAAAGCUGAAGCUGGAGCAACAGUCUCAGAGUGUGACAACAACCAUGAGAAUGGAGGCCAUUCAUAGCAGAACUAUGAGACAAGAGGAGCCUAGGUCCCUGAGCUGCAGAACUGCGUACUAACCUGAUGAGAAGACUAAUGCUCAGUGAGGUGAACUCCUUCAGGGCCACAGGCAGUAAAGAUCUAAACCCCAUCUGAUCCAGUUUCAAUAUGACUGCCUGGAUGAAGAAGGAUUUGAGACUAAGUUUAUUCCUCCAGAGCAAACCAACUGAGAAUGCAGUUUCUGAGGACCUUGGCUCGUUUCAAAUUCUGGAAAUAUAUUUGAACACCUCUCCCAGAAGUGGUUUUCAGUGCAACCCAUCAUCAAAGGGAAGGAGUUGAUGAAAAGAAAUGAAAUUGAAACGUGCACCUGGGGAGAAGUGAUUGAAGGUUCUUCAUUUAAGGGACUGGCUCCUUUUCUCUUAUUAUACUGUGAAAUCUGAAAACAUCUCUUGAAAUUCUGGUCACUGUCUUCUGGACAUCCCAAGGCACACCAUCCCCACAGUUCCUUCCUCCUAGAUUAUUCCAUCCAGUGUGGCAUCCAGUGUGGCAAAUCGAAAAAGACUCUUCCAGUGGGCAACUGAAAAGGACACCAAAGAAAGCAGAUACAGCCCAUGAUCAAAGAAGCACAUAACUUCAGUUUGGAACAUGACUGAUAGAAAGAUCAAUUAGACAAUGCACAUCAAUCAAAGGUAAGUACUGAUAGGUGCUAUUGUACCAGAAAACAAACACAAAGGCUGAGGCUUUCUGGUGUUUGGGGAAACAGCCUCAAUAAAAGGGAUCUCAGGAAUGGAUUUAUCCUUCUAUCCUUCCUUCCACCCCUUCAACUGAGCCUCCACUACAUUCUGGGCACUGUGCCAAAGGCUGGCAACUCGGAAAUGAAGAGGCUUGGUUCCUGCCCUCAAGUGGCUUAUAGUCCAAGGUGGUGGUGGAGGGGGGUGGAUAGGGAAGUUGUUGAGGGAAGACAAAGAAACGUGCAGUGAAGUUUACCAGAACAUGGGGUGUAGGCUGCUGACGGAGCAUGAAGGAGGAAGGAGACAAAGACUCUGGGAGUUCAGGAAAGGAUGUAUCCCGGAUAGAGGUGAUGCCUAGGCAGAGUCUGGAAAGAUGAGUAAUAAUAAGAGCAAGCAUACAAGAAGAUACGGGCUGGGCGCGGUGGCUCACGCCUGUAAUCCCAGCACUUUGGGAGUCCGAGGCAAGCGGGUCACUUGAGGUAAGGAGUCAGGGGUGCUGGCGGAACACUUGAGGUCAGAAAUUCGAGACCAGCCUGGCUAACAUGGUGAAACCCCAUCUCUACUAAAAAUACAAAAACUAGCCAGGCGUGGUGGUGCAUGCCUGUAAUCCUAGCUACUCGGGAGGCUGAGGCAGGAGAAUCGCUUGAACCAGGGAGGUGGAGGUUGUAAUGAGCGAAGAUAGCGCCACUGCACUUCAGCCUGGGGACUGCAGGGAGACUUCGUCUCAAAAAAAAAAAAAAAAAAAAAAAAAACAAGAUAUGGCAGAUGCUGCUGCCAUCUGGACACACUUGUAGAUGUAUUAACUCAUUUAAUUCUCUCAAGACCCCAUGUUUAGAUAUCAGUACUAUCCUCAUUUCAUGAUGCACAGAGAGAUCAAGUAACUUGCCCAAGUCAAGCAGCUACCUUGUGGCUGAGCUGGAGUUUAAACCCAGGCACUCAGUGACAGCGUCCACACUCGUAACCACAAUGCUAAGAGUUUGCCAGACAGGUGGGAAGCAACAUUUUUGGAAGAGGGUCAGGGCCAUAGGUUUUGUGAAGUGACAGAGCAUGACAUUCAGAUUCAGUAGGGCUUAAAGACCCAACUUUUGGAAAGCAGAGGAGAUCUGAACCUUAGCCGUAGCUUCUAGAGGUGGGCUAAGAGCACCCUGGGCACAUGUAGUGGUGACCAGAGGACUUGCAGCCAUCAAAUCAGCAUGGUGUGCUGUUUAUUUCUCCCAAAGACUCAGGAGGGGAGAGCUUUGAUACGUUUUUCUCAUACCAGAUAACUUUAAGAUGUAGUUUUAUAUUAUAGAAUAGGAUGUAAAAUUACCAUGACAUUUUUCCUUGUUUCUUCUUCCUUUUGAUAUAUGAUUUAAAUUGUUUCUUUAAUGUAUUUAUUUAUACUAAAUAAAACAACUCAUGGUUAUAU
rnacentral:lncRNA from 1 species